rnacentral:lncRNA from 1 species
GUUUUUCCUACUACUCCUACUAUUUAUUGGCAGAUUUUUUUCAGAUUAUAGCAGAGACUUAAUAUUGGCAGCUUUGAAUACUUCACUUCAAAUGUAUACCACAGAACUUAUGAUGUUGAUGUUGACCAUGAGCAUAUUUCUGGAUGCCACUUCUCCAUGACAAAGACUUGCUAUUAUAUCUUCUUUCCAAAUGAUGUAAUAAACUGAUGUGAGCAAAAAGAAAGUGAGCUCCAGGAGAAAAAGGAACUUGUCCUUCUUGUUC